ACCCUUUCAGGAUUGCACCUGGAGAGUUUCCGGGACUCUACCAGACUCAGCUAUGGGAGGGAGACUCAAAUAGAGGCAUAUCCAUUCCAUUCCUAGCUUGGGCAGUGGCUAGCAAAUGGAAGACAACCUGCUACAAGU